GGCGGUGACUAUAGCGGAAGGGAAACACCCGUUCCCAUCCCGAACACGGAAGUUAAGCCUUCCAGCCCCGAUGAUACUGCGGGGGAAGCCCCGUGGGAAAGUAGGACGUUGCCGCCC
rnacentral:rRNA from 2 species